CAGAAGGGAAGGGGUAUCCCCUUCUUCUUCUUCUUCUCUCGAAUUGUCUCUUAAAAAACUAAACCACGGCCGCCAGUUUUCUUAUCCCCUAAUCACUGAUCUCCGCAGGUUUUGCCCAAGCCAGCGAAAGAUUCAGGGGAACAGGAGCUCACACUAUUAGAGAUAAUGAAAGGUAAGUUUGAAAGUAAAAGGGAUGAAGUGGUGUCUGGUUAGAAGGAGAGAGAUCCACGGCAGUGGGCACGACCAUGGCCGCAGCCAUGAAGAGGAAAGACUGUUGGCGACAUCUAAGCUUCUCAAGGAAUUGACCGAGGAAGAUGACAUGAAAUUACAGAUUUGGAUUUCAUCAGCAUGGCCAUGAUCAUGAGCAUUUUGGUAGUCUGCAGCUCUAAGUUCUUGGAGUUUGUCAAGGAGAAAGUUUGUGAACGAAAGAAAUCUAAUCGAGAGAUGGUUUCUGCAGUAACGUGCGGACGUAAUUUCUAGUGCUAUCUAUAUGACCUUAUGCUAGGUUGUGACUUCUAAGGAGAGCGUCGACAGCCAUGUCUAUUUCCAACCUUGACAUGGUUUCGUAAUUGAUUCUAACCUGAAGAACUUCUGAAAACUCAUUGAUCAAAGAUCUACAAGCAAUGUCAAGUAGCUGGCCAUCAUUGGGAUCUGGUAGAUCUGCUAUUUCAGUCUGCAGAUGUAUGAAAUUCAACAAGCAAGCUUUAAAGCUUCCAACCUGGUAGCCUUGUAACCCACAAGGUACGACCCAACGAAAAGGAGUCAAGUCUGGGUUCACAACUUCACAUUCAGUGCUAAGCCAUCAUAUGUUAUCCCCUGGUUAACUAGUAUGCCAAUGGCUGCCAGUUUCUGGUUUCCUGAAGAAAAAUUCAAAUAUAAACAUCACAGUAGAAUUCCAGCUGCCAGUUUCAAUAUCAAUGUUCUUGUUUUUUUUU